AUAUUGGGCCGAAAUUUUGGGCCCGCUCUCUAGGGCCUUGGGGCGGAAAGGUAGUUGCUUAGGAGACGUGAGACGAUUAGGUUUUGUCUCUUAGCUCUUUCGUCGCCGGCGAGACCGGAAAGAGAAGAAAGGUGGGUGACGGGACAUCUAGUAAGUUUGAUCAGAUUUGUUUCUUCUGCCGCAGCGACUGGUAACCGAGCUGCGUUUAGAGUUACAGCUAUCGAUCUGGAUCAUUUCAGCUAUGUUUUAUUCAUUGUGCUUGAUCCAAUAAGUCCACUGGAAUUGGUACUAAAGCAUGAUUGGAUGAAGAGGUGUUUUUUGAUUGGAGGGUUCUUCUAAAGUUGCAUCAUCAAGGACUAUUAUCCUUUCGAGCUCUUACAAAUGUCGUAUAUGCAGUCUUUCCUAGAGUUGAGGUUUGAUUGUCCAUUAAAGCUAAGGUUGUCAUGCUUGGACCUAUAUCAGGUUUAUGCCUCUCAUAUCUUGCGUAAGUGGAGGUGGGUUUUUUGUGUUUGCUCUUAUCAAUCCGAUAUAAGUAUUGACAAGCAAUGAUGAAUAUAAGAUAAAACAAUGCAAUAAAUAUAAUGCAGUAGGACAAUAUAAUAAACAAGUCAAAAGGCUAGUAAAAUAGGAUGCUAAUGAUAAUAUACUUUUUGAUGGAUGACACUCAAACUAAAUAAGAAACUAGUGAUGUGAUCAUAUUUUUGUGUUUUUUUUUUCUAUUGGAGAUUUUGAUAGACAGUUGGAGCAGGUGAAAGAGAAAUGCAUAAUUACGAAAUGGUGAUAAAGAGAUGGAGGUCAGCUACUAUAAACUAAAGCAUGUGAGAUGGUGAUGUUCUAGUACUGUCUUUAAUGACGAAAUGAGGAAUACUAUGCUAUGGCAGUCAGGUUACAUAUAUUCAAAUCUUCCCUCUUUAGUAUUAUCUUCUCUUCAGUUUCUUGUUGUGUACUAUAAUUUUUUGGUCAAUGCAACUAUUCGUGGUUGGAUGGAAAGUAAUUCACGGUUUCAAAGAGAAGAGAAAUAUUGAAGCUCAUUGAAUCAGAUAUAAAGAGAGGGUCAACAAGUGACCAUGUUAAGUUAUUAAAUUAAGAGUUCCAAUGCUGUUGUGUAAUCAUGAUUACUAACUAGGGGAGUAAUGAUAUCUAACCAAAAUGUGAUAGAAUCUGGUUGACAUCUCUUUCCAACUUUCAACUUAUUCUUUCAAUAUAGUCCUACUUGGUAUGGCAUGUAAUCAAAUUUAUAUGACAUGAUUGCUAUGUGUUCUUCCAAAUUUUUUCCUUUUAGAUUAUUAAUUACUUUGUACUGUUCAAUUUAUGCGUUGAAUUAUAUGAAUUAAAAUGAUUGUGGUUUUGGUUGGCAGGACACUGAUGUGCAUAGAAUACUUUUAUGUAUACUUUGACACAUAUUCACUUGUUUUCUUCGAGUAUGUUUUAUGUUAUUACACUCUUUUUUAUCAUAUUUUCAGCAUAAUUACUCUCUUUGUCAGAAGUCUGCUCGUGCUUGUUUUGUUCUUCACAGGAUGUAUUUUCGAAGUGAAAACAAAGUUAAGGCGUGCUUCGGAGCAGCCCUAGAAGAAGGGCAGAGCCUAGUUGUGGCCCCUGGAACAACCGUGCCUCAUCCUCGAGAGCAAGCAAGUCACGUUCGUGCCCCCGACACAUUUUCUUGCCCCUUCACCAGAAUCUAUCCUAGGUCAGGCCAUGUCCUCCGAACAGAGUUCAGUCAAGGCCAUGCCAUGUGGUUUCACAUGGCCAUAUCUCUUGACCAGAGACCAAUCAAGCUUAGGCCGUGUGAAAGCACACGAUCGUGUGCUUCUUCCAGAGCUGCUUCAAGCCCAACCGUGCCAAAAGGCACGGCCGUGACACGACCCAUGUCUGGGGCCGUGUCUUGCCCUAUAAAAGGGGUCUUCUUCCCCAUUUCAAAGGGAGGAAGGUCUCCCCUUUGGGAGGACCAAUCUUGGUCUAGAUCCGCUGAUUCUUCGCACUCCGAUUGACGAUCUGAAGCCGCUUCAACCCUCUCCUUCAUCUUCGGAAGCAUAGGAUUAGAUCCGAAGACCUCUCGUCGCCUUGGCUAAGCAUUUCCCCCUCUUCUUCUUAGAUUGGGUUUUAAGCUUGCAAUUUCUAUGUUUUUGGAUUCAUUUGUUAUAGAGUAGAUUCAUUUGUUUUGGGAUUAAGGGAGUAGUUGUGAUGUGUAAUUGAUGUAUACUCUUUGAAUUUGUCAAUUUCCUAUUCGUAUGACAUGUAUAUGCCUUGUAUCUA